rnacentral:lncRNA from 10 species
GAAAGACGUUCAACGGCUGAGGAGACCACAGCGGCAACUAGGUCACUUCCUAUUCGAAGAAAAAGGAGGAGAUGCCAUCUGGCAAAUUCGAGGUCCUUCCAAAGUGCCUACGGAAAGCUUUGUCCCAUCCUUGAAAAAUUGCUAAUGGGUUUGGAGAUACGAGGUGGAGAUGACUAGCAAUCAAACUCAAAGGUGGAAGUCACAUCGAGGCAGAUGAGCAGAUGAGGGGACCUAGAGAAGAAGAGAGGUGCAAGGAGAGCCCAGCCAGCAGGAACAUCUGCCCCAGUAGGCAGCACUGCCCCACAUCAGAGUCGAGGAAAGCAAAGCUCGGAUUGGAUAAAAGAAACUUGCAAACACGGUCAGUGCUUACUGCAUGUGGGCUCAGAGCACGUUACCCUCCUUCCCUGCAUGUUCCUGUGAAACGGGUUUACUGCUCUAACUCUCAGGGACACUGUGAAGACCAAACGAGAAAAUAGAAACAAACAUAAUUUAUAAACCAUAAAGUACUGACACCAAAAGAGGGGCGAGCACAGCAUUGUGAAUGUGCUGGUACUAAAUGGUUUGUUUUAAGAUGAUUUUAUGGUGUGUGAAUUUCACUUGAAUAAAUUUUUUUAAUGGAGUUCAUGGGGACGCUGCAGGAUGUCAAUUAACUUUGGACAUUUUAGCAGCGCUUUAGGUGUUAAAAUUAUUUUUUAAAAAAUACAGGAUGAAGGGAAAAGCUUCAUGACAUUGGAUUUGGCAGUGAUUCCUUGGAUAUGACCCCAAAAGCACAGAUAACGAAAGAAAAAAUAGUUAAAUUGUCUUCAUCAAAAUUAAAACUUUUGUACAUCAAAGAACUCUUUCAAAAGAGUGAAAAAGUCACAGAAUAAGAGAAAAUCAUAUACCUGAUAAAGAAUUAAUAUUCAGAGCCAGAUGCAGUGGCUCAUGCCUGUAAUCCCAGCACUUUGGGAGGCCAAGGCAGGCAGAUCACUUGAGAUCAGGAGUUCGAGACAAGCCUGGCUAAAAUGGUGAAACCCCAGCUCUACUAAAAAUACAAAAAUUAGCCAGGCGUGGUGGCGUGCACCUGGAAUCCCAGCUAUUCGGGAGGCUGAGGCAGGAGAAUCGCUUGAACUCAGAAGGCAGAGGUUGCAGUGAGCCAAGAUCACACCACUGCACUCCAGCCUGGGCGACAAAGUGAGACUCCAUCUCAAAAAAACAAAACAAAACAAAACAAAACAAAGAGUUACUAUUCAGAAUAUAUUAAGAAUUCCUACAACUCAACAACAAAAAAAAAUCCAACCCAAUUAAAAAAUGGGCAACAGACCCAAAUAGACAUUUCUUAGAAGACACACAAAUGGCCAAUAAGCUCAUGAAAACAUGUUUAACAUCACUAAUCAUUAGGGAAAUGCAAAUCAAAGCUAAAAUGAGAUACCACGUCACACUCAUUAGGUGUUAUUUUUUAAAAAUAACACAACAACAAAAAAUAAGAAAUGUGGGCGAGGAUGUGAAGAAAUUGAAACCCUUGUGGACUGUUGUUGGGGAUGUAAAAUGGCGCAGCUGCUGGGGAAAACAGUAUGGGAGUUCCUCACAAAACUAAACAGAAUUGCCAAACGACCCAGCGAUCCUGCCUCUGACAUAUACUGGAAAGAACUGAAAUAAGGCGCUGGAACAGACACUUGUAACCCAUGUUCACAGCUGAGCCAAAAGGUGGGAGUAACCCAAAUGUCCAUCAGUGGAUGAAUACUGGCAAUAAAAGCUGUGUCUGGAGGCCACUCCGUUUCACACAGCUCUCCACACGGGUGAGGGCACAGCCUUCUCGUCUCUUUCCUAUGCUGCAUCUUCAGAGCUAGCUAUGAUAUGAUAUGAUGUGAUAUGUACAUAUCGAAUAUACAUGUUUUACAUGCAAAUGCAACCAGUUUAUUGAGGGCUUGAUGGGGGAUAUGGGAGUUGCGGGGGAGAAUGGUCUUGUAUUUCCAAUUUAAAAAUAACAACAACAAAACGGGACAGAAGUGCAAGACUUUUAGUGUUCUCUAGAGCAAUGUCACUCUGUCCCUAGACGAAUGGUAGGAGCGGGACAUGUUCAUAUGUCCUCGAGGUGUGACCGCACAUGGGCACACAGUAGCCCAAAGCAUAUCCCAGCCGGGAGCAGUUCCUUUUAUGGGGCCGCCUGGGCAGGAUCCAAGGUGCUGGGUUUGAAACAAAAAGGAGUGACUCUGUCCCACACCAAGUAACACCAAACCUCACUGACCUCAGUUUUCUUAUCUGUAAAAAGAGCAAUGCGGGGGCUGGCUCAGUGGCUCAUGCCUGUAAUCCCAGCACUUUGAGAGGCCGAGACAGGUGGAUCACCUGAGGUCAAGAGUUCGAGACCAGCCUGGCCAACAUGGUGAAACCCCGUCUCUACAAAAGUACAAAAUUUAGCCGGGCAUGGUGGCACAUGCCUGUAAUCCCAGCUACUCAGGAGGCUGAGGCAGGAGAAUUGCUUGAACCCAGGGGGCGGAAGUUGCAGUGAGCCAAGAUCGCACCACUGCACUCCAGCCUGGGUGACACAGUGAAACUCCAUCUCAAAAAAAAAAAAAUUUUUUUUUAGAUUUAAAAAAGCAAUGCCUACCUUGCAAGGCUGCUGGGAAAAUCAAAUAUGCCAAUAGAUGUGAACAAGCCCCGUGUAGAGAAUGGAAAGCUGCCUGCCUAUUAUAUUAGAGCUGUUUGGACAGACUAGGGAGCUCUCCUACCUGCAUUAAAGGUCAAACUCUGGGACAUCUACGAGACCCACCACAGUCUGGCCUCAAAUAAGUGCUCCCGCCGCACCCCUCCCAAACAACUAUGAAUCACUCACUGUCCCCCUAAACGUGCCCUUCCCUGCGGGCUGCCCAGGACACACUUUUCCUACUCAGUCUGAAACCCACCUACUUGUCCUUCCAGGUCUUGUUCAAACAGCACCUUCAGGGAAGCCCUCCCUUCCCUCACCCCCAGCUCCCCCAGUGAAAACUGGGGGUCCCCUCUAAACCCCAGAACCCUCCACCCUGCAUUCCAGGCGCUUCAUUCUCAAUGGCCUGGUGCAAAUCCUGACCCAAUAGUGGUAAGUAUUUGACCCUGCACAAUGCGUGGAGUGUCACAGAGACCAUGGUCGCUGAUAAAGGUGCAAUCGGCGUUGCCCUCUGCUGUCAUCAUUCACAAGAAUUCUCCUCAAGGGCCAGUCUCCCAGCCUGAUGGUGAGUGAGGAGCAGGUGAGGUUGACACACAUACCCCAGAGUGCACAGCCCUGAACGUCCACACAUGGCAAACACACAAUCCCGUGUGUGGUAUUUGGAUGCACUCUACCUUGUUACAACUGGAGUUCAAAUAUUUGGAUUAUGUAUUCCUCGCAAAAACUUUGAAGUGGAGUUAGCUGGAUCUCCAUGCUAUGAUACAUGCUAAGCUUCAGCCUUUCUGGGAAAGCAUAAUCACGUCUCCGUAAGCAAAGAAAAACAUGAGCCUGAAUGAGCAGCUUUCUCCAGGAGCGACAUGAUGGGGACACCAUACUGCCAUAGUGCAAGUCACAUGCAAACACUUCCAAAUCCAACCCCUGCUCUCACUAGCCCUGUGACCUCGGAAGUCCCUUAACCUCCUGAGCCGUGGUUUCCCCAUUUCUUUUGAGAUGUUUAUUGAGCACCUGCUAUAUGCUUGGUCCUAUGAUAAUGGCUAAGAACACAGAAGAAUAAAAUAAAACUACAGACCUUCCUGCCACAAAAAGCUCACAGUGCAGAAAAUGAGUGUUCAGUGGAGAGAGGGAAGCAGAGAUUGCCCUGGAAAUGGAGAAGCAGGACCCCUGACCCAGCAGGGGAUUCAGGUAAGAGGAGAACACAGAAAAUCAACCAUGAAAGGGGAAGAGGCAUUUUCUGGGGGUACAAAGGCACAGAGGGCAAGACAGG